rnacentral:rRNA from 1 species
GACGAACGCUGGCGGCGUGCCUAAUACAUGCAAGUAGAACGCUGAAGGAGGAGCUUGCUCUUCUGGAUGAGUUGCGAACGGGUGAGUAACGCGUAGGUAACCUGCCUGGUAGCGGGGGAUAACUAUUGGAAACGAUAGCUAAUACCGCAUAACAGUAGAUGUUGCAUGACAUUUGCUUAAAAGGUGCAAUUGCACCACUACCAGAUGGACCUGCGUUGUAUUAGCUAGUUGGUGGGGUAACGGCUCACCAAGGCGACGAUACAUAGCCGACCUGAGAGGGUGAUCGGCCACACUGGGACUGAGACACGGCCCAGACUCCUACGGGAGGCAGCAGUAGGGAAUCUUCGGCAAUGGACGGAAGUCUGACCGAGCAACGCCGCGUGAGUGAAGAAGGUUUUCGGAACGUAAAGCUCUGUUGUAAGAGAAGAACGAGUGUGAGAGUGGAAAGUUCACACUGUGACGGUAUCUUACCAGAAAGGGACGGCUAACUACGUG